rnacentral:rRNA from 1 species
GAUGGACGCUGGCGGCGUGCCUAAUACAUGCAAGUCGAGCGAACGGACGAGAAGCUUGCUUCUCUGAUGUUAGCGGCGGACGGGUGAGUAACACGUGGAUAACCUACCUAUAAGACUGGGAUAACUUCGGGAAACCGGAGCUAAUACCGGAUAAUAUUUUGAACCGCAUGGUUCAAAAGUGAAAGACGGUCUUGCUGUCACUUAUAGAUGGAUCCGCGCUGCAUUAGCUAGUUGGUAAGGUAACGGCUUACCAAGGCAACGAUGCAUAGCCGACCUGAGAGGGUGAUCGGCCACACUGGAACUGAGACACGGUCCAGACUCCUACGGGAGGCAGCAGUAGGGAAUCUUCCGCAAUGGGCGAAAGCCUGACGGAGCAACGCCGCGUGAGUGAUGAAGGUCUUCGGAUCGUAAAACUCUGUUAUUAGGGAAGAACAUACGUGUAAGUAACUGUGCACAUCUUGACGGUACCUAAUCAGAAAGCCACGGCUAACUACGUG